GGCCUGAUGGUCCAACGGUACGAUACUUGCUUUGGGAGCAAGUGACCCCGGUUCGACUCCGGGUCAGGCCC